UCCCUGAUAGCUCAAUUGGUAAAGAAUCGGCCUGCAAUACAGGAGGCCUGGGUUCAAUUCCUGGUUUGGGAA
rnacentral:tRNA from 1 species